GUUCAUAUCGACGGCGGUGUUUGGCACCUCGAUGUCGGCUCAUCACAUCCUGGGGCUGAAGUAGGUCCCAAGGGUAUGGCUGUUCGCCAUUUAAAGUGGUACGCGAGCUGGGUUUAGAACGUCGUGAGACAGUUCGGUCCCUAUCUGCCGUGGGCGCUGGAGAAUUGAGGGGGGCUGCUCCUAGUACGAGAGGACCGGAGUGGACGCAUCACUGGUGUUCGGGUUGUCAUGCCAAUGGCACUGCCCGGUAGCUAAAUGCGGAAGAGAUAAGUGCUGAAAGCAUCUAAGCACGAAACUUGCCCCGAGAUGAGUUCUCCCUGAGACUUUAAGUCUCCUGAAGGAACGUUGAAGACGACGACGUUGAUAGGCCGGGUGUGUAAGCGCAGCGAUGCGUUGAGCUAACCGGUACUAAUGAACCGUGAGGCUUAACCUUACAACGCCGAAGCUGUU
rnacentral:rRNA from 1 species